UGUAUUAAGUCAAGCAUUGAAGACCUAACAUAUGGCAUGUUUUGCAAGGCACAGGGAAAGAAAAAUGAACUGAGAACAGUGAGACCUUGUGGAAGUUCCCAGGGUGGGACGUUGCAAACCCUGGGUCCUAGGCCUUCCUGAAUCACAGCCUCGGUGGGAGGAUCUUAUGAAAGGGGAUAGGGUCUCCCUCUGUCUCCCAGGCUGGAGUGCAAUGGUGGGAUCUUGGCUCACUGCAGCUUUGAACUCCUGGGCUCAAGCGAUCCUCUCACUUCAACCUCCUGAGUAGCUGGGACUACAGGGCUUCUUCGCUGGAAUGAGGAAGAGGAGGAAGCCAAGGAAGACAGAGACUGUGGCAUCAGUACGGUAGCCUUUCCUAGUAAAGAGACAAGCAUAGCUGAGGAGAAGGGUCAGGAAUUUUCAGGAGUAACAUGGUGUCUCGGAGCAGUCUGUCCGAACACAGUGCCUCUUUUUAGGACUUAUCUAGAGGUGACAUUAAGCUUAGUUCUUGCCAGUUGCUGCCACGCUAUCCACUUUGGAUUUAAUGGGCAAUGGCGAAUGUCUGGAGGCAGGGCCUGGCUAGAGUAGAUGUCUUAGUGUGAAUUUGUGAGCCCGUUAAUUGGGGCAAGUCCUAGAUGGAGUGAUCAGGAGUGGAGUUGGUUAGAUAAAGGAGAAUAGAAGAGGAUGAGACCUCUUUCCUAUGAAGGCCACACCUCCAUGUGCCUCCCUUCUCAAGUGAGAAGUUGAUUUCUUCUUUACAGUUGGUACUUUAUAGAUGUUUCCUCCUUUAACUUUCAUAACCACCUAUGAGGUAACCAAGCUUCCAAGAGCUUAUGUAAUGAGACUACAUGCAGCACUGGAUUCCAACCCCAGACCGGGACUCCAAAGAGUGUUUUUCCUUCCUGAUUUCACACUGCAGCCUCCCUAAAAAGAGUGGAUUUCCCGGGGAAUGAAAUCUUCCUGGCUUCAUAUCUGCCCCUGAGAGUCUAUGAAGUCUUGCCUGAAGAACUGGGGUGAGGGGGUGGUUCUUAAGGAGGAAAUGAUAUCACUUACUUUUCAAAGAAAGAAUCCCAGCCAGGGACAAAGCCAGGCUCCCGGGUAAACCACAGUACGGUCAUCAGGAUGAAGAAAAAUCCAGUCACCAUUUCAGGGUAGCUAUAAAAUAAAACAGAAAGACCCACUCAGGAACUGAGAAAUUUCUCCUAGCUUUUUCACUUUGCUUCUGGAAGCUUCUGUAUUUAGAGUUUCAAUACCCUAGACAUAAAACACACUCACUGCCUAACCACUAUGAAUGGCUGACAGUGAGAUGAGGAGAAGACUGAGUGGCCCCAGAAAACAUGACAUUAACCAUGUUCCUGGAGAAACUUCAGUAGAAAGGGCAAGAGAACACAGCACUGUACAUUUGUAAAAUAAUUUCAAAUACAGCCUACAAGGAGAGUGCAGUGAAAUAGGCAGCCCCAAACACUGUGCUGGUGGGAGGAGGAAUUGCUACAACCUUUUUGAGGCCAUUUGAUGAUACACAUCAGAAGCCUUAAAGUUGGUCAUUCCCUGGCCGGGUGUGGUGGCCCGCGCCCGUAAUCCUAGCACUUUGGGAGGCCGAGGUGGGCGGAUCACGAGGUCAGGAGAUGGAGACCAUCCUGGCUAA